rnacentral:rRNA from 1 species
UGAGGAAUAUUGCGCAAUGGGGGAAACCCUGACGCAGCAACGCCGCGUGAGUGAGGAAGGUUUUCGGACCGUAAAGCUCUGUCGAGCGGGAAGAAGUGUAUCAUGGCUAAUAUCCAUGGUAUUUGACGGUACCGCUAGAGGAAGCACCGGCUAACUCCGUGCCAGCAGCCGCGGUAAUACGGGGGGUGCAAGCGUUGUUCGGAAUUAUUGGGCGUAAAGAGCGUGUAGGCGGCUGGAUAAGUCAGAUGUGAAAGCCCUGGGCUUAACCUAGGAAGUGCAUUUGAAACUAUUCAGCUAGAGUAAGGGAGAGGAAAGUGGAAUUCCUGGUGUAGAGGUGAAAUUCGUAGAUAUCAGGAGGAACACCGGUGGCGAAGGCGACUUUCUGGCCCUAUACUGACGCUGAGACGCGAGAGCGUGGGUAGCAAACAGG